GAUGAACGCUGGCGGCGUGCCUAAUACAUGCAAGUCGAACGAGUUCUGAUUAUUGAAAGGUGCUUGCAUCUUGAUUUAAUUUUGAACGAGUGGCGGACGGGUGAGUAACACGUGGGUAACCUGCCCUUAAGUGGGGGAUAACAUUUGGAAACAGAUGCUAAUACCGCAUAAAUCCAAGAACCGCAUGGUUCUUGGCUGAAAGAUGGCGUAAGCUAUCGCUUUUGGAUGGACCCGCGGCGUAUUAGCUAGUUGGUGAGGUAACGGCUCACCAAGGCAAUGAUACGUAGCCGAACUGAGAGGUUGAUCGGCCACAUUGGGACUGAGACACGGCCCAAACUCCUACGGGAGGCAGCAGUAGGGAAUCUUCCACAAUGGACGCAAGUCUGAUGGAGCAACGCCGCGUGAGUGAAGAAGGCUUUCGGGUCGUAAAACUCUGUUGUUGGAGAAGAAUGGUCGGCAGAGUAACUGUUGUCGGCGUGACGGUAUCCAACCAGAAAGCCACGGCUAACUACGUGC
rnacentral:rRNA from 1 species